rnacentral:rRNA from 1 species
AACGAACGCUGGCGGCAUGCCUAACACAUGCAAGUCGAACGAGACCUUCGGGUCUAGUGGCGCACGGGUGCGUAACGCGUGGGAAUCUGCCCUUGGGUUCGGAAUAACAGUUGGAAACGACUGCUAAUACCGGAUGAUGACGUAAGACCAAAUAUUUAUCGCCCAGGGAUGAGCCCGCGUAGCCUUAGCUAGUUGGUGGGGUAAAGGCCUACCAAGGCGACGAUCCUUAGCUGGUCUGAGAGGAUGAUCAGCCACACUGGGACUGAGACACGGCCCAGAAUCCUACGGGAGGCAGCAGUGGGGAAUCUUGGCAAAUGGGCGAGAGCCUGAUCCCGCUAUGCCGCGUGAGUGAUGAAGGCGUUAGGGUUGUAAAGCUCUUUUACCCGGGAUGAUAAUGACGGUACCGAGAGAAUAAGCCCCGGCUAACUCCGUG